UCCUCGAGAAAAUUUUGUUAU
rnacentral:piRNA from 1 species